CCAGGCCUUAUCUUGGGAUUGCGCUGCUGUUCAAUGAAUGUCUAGUGAGAAUAGCACUGUUAACACCUACACAACACAUAUGCAUCCAUGGGGGUUUCACCCCAAUGAGGUGCAAUUUUUAGGCCA